rnacentral:rRNA from 1 species
UACGAAGGGGGCUAGCGUUGCUCGGAAUCACUGGGCGUAAAGCGCACGUAGGCGGAUUUUUAAGUCAGGGGUGAAAUCCUGGAGCUCAACUCCAGAACCGCCUUUGAUACUGGGAAUCUCGAGUCCGGGAGAGGUGAGUGGAACUGCGAGUGUAGAGGUGAAAUUCGUAGAUAUUCGCAAGAACACCAGUGGCGAAGGCGGCUCACUGGCCCGGUACUGACGCUGAGGUGCGAAAGCGUGGGGAGCAAACAGG